UACGUAGGGGACCAAGCGUUGUUCGGAUUUACUGGGCGUAAAGGGCGCGUAGGCGGCGCUGUAAGUCACUUGUGAAAUCUCCGGGCUUAACUCGGAACGGUCAAGUGAUACUGCAGUUGCUAGAGUGCGGAAGGGGCAAUCGGAAUUCUUUGGUGUAGCGGUGAAAUGCGUAGAUAUCAAGAGGAACACCUGAGGUGAAGACGGGUUGCUGGGCCGACACUACGCUGAGGCACGAAAAGCGUGGGGUAGCAAACAGG
rnacentral:rRNA from 1 species